rnacentral:rRNA from 1 species
UACAGAGGUCUCGAGCGUUAGGCGGAAUCACUGGGCUUAGAGCGUGUGUAGGCGGAUCGUUAAGUACCUUGUGAAAUCCCACGGCUUAACCGUGGAACUGCUUGGUAUACUGGCGGUCUUGAGCCAGCUAGGGGCUACCGGAACAAAUGGUGGAGCGGUGAAAUGCGUAGAUAUCAUUUGGAACGCCAAUGGUGAAAACAGGUAGCUGGGGCUGUGCUGACGCUGAGACACGAAAGCCAGGGGAGCAAACGGG